rnacentral:rRNA from 1 species
UACGAGUGCUUCAAGCGUUAUCCGGAAUCAUUGGGCGUAAAGGGUGUGUAGGCGGCAUUGUUAGUCUCGCGUUAAAUCUUUCGGCUCAACCGAAAGGCUGCGUGGGAAACGGCAAAGCUAAGAGGACGGAAGAGGUCUCUGGAACUCAUAGUGUAGCGGUGAAAUGCGUUGAUAUUAUGGGGAACACCAAAAGCGAAGGCAAGAGACUGGUCCGCUCCUGACGCUGAAACACGAAAGCGUGGGUCGCGAAUGGG